rnacentral:rRNA from 1 species
ACUCCUACGGGAGGCAGCAGUGGAGAAUNUGCAUAGGGAAGGGCAACGUGAGCAGCCAGCCGUCGUGAGUAGGCAGAAUCGGGCCUUCGGUUGAUGAAAGCACUUUUCCAGUUAGGGGAGGAAGGUAGUUGUAGUUAACACUGCAUUAUUUGACGUUACCUACAGAAGAAGCACCGGCUAACUCCGUGCCAGCAGCCGCGGUAAUACGGAGGGUGCGAGCGUUAAUCGGAAUUACUGGGCGUAAAAGCGCAUGCAGGCGGCCUGUUAAGUCAGAUGUGAAAGCCCGGGGCUUAACCUCGGAAUUGCAUUUGAAACUGGCAGGCUAGAGUCUUGUAGAGGGGGUGAGAAUUGUCAGGUGUAGCGGUGAAAGUGCAGUAGAGAUCUGAAGGAAU